CAACAGCCUCCUCUUUGUGUGAGCUCUUUCUACUUAACCCACUGUCACUUUUAGAUGGAAGAGGUGCAAUUCAAGGGACAGCUCAGCCAAUGAAAGGGAAGCUCUCAAAAAGACAUCAGACCAUUUGAGAGCACAAUUUGUCUUGAUUGAGUCUGGAGAACACAGCUGAUGCCACUCGCACAGAUGAAGUACUCGCAUAAAAAAGCAAAGAAACUCCAACUGUUGGUAGGCACAGUGAUGUUGGCGCUUAUUCUUCUGGUUUUGGCCCAUUUGGCCAUAUCAAGUGGUCAGUCAGGCAAUCGUCGAUACACCCACAACCACUGGAUCCACAACCAUGAGACUCCACGGUUCGAUGAUAUUGACAGCCUGUUUCUAAUGGAAGGGAAAGUCAUUUGGCCUGUAUCUGCACAAGAAAUGCAUGGACCGGUGAUGGAGGCCGAUCAGAAACUGUCGACUUCUCCACAGCCACAUCUAAUGAAGGAUCAAGAUUCCAAAAAAGAAGCAAAAGAAUCGGCAGUGUGGAAAAUAGUGCUGGUAGUCGCCAUCCUGCUGGUGUCUGUGGUGGGAUCUCUGAGCAUGGCCUAUUACCUGUGUGUCUGGAGAGGAGGCAGGAUUCGCUAUCAGUCUCACAAAGAGGGCUGUCCAUGAAUAUAAAUAAAGUGAACUUUGUGUAGGAAAAAGUUUUGGAAAGUGUUGAUUUUAUGUACUGUCCUUAUAUGUGAAUGUGUGACUCAUGGAUCUGAUGCUUUGUAAGUUUUAGGUCACUCCUCAUCACAGCUUGUUGUACAGAGAAAGUAGACAAAAUAUAACCAGCAUUUCUGCUUUUUCUUGGUGUAUGUAUUAGAAUUAGCUUUUACCAAUAUGCCUUACAUUAGUAUAUAUGCCUCAAAUGAUAACUCUGUAUUGCCUGAUGUGCUGCAUACGAGGAAAUGUCUUUUUCUACGGUUCCUGCAUUUACUUGUGGGUUUAGCUGAUCAGUUUGCUUCCAGAACAGGUAUUUGUUCUGGGUGUCAAUAUGAGUACCAGUCAAACAUGGGUAUUUGUUGAUGAGACACUAAGACUCAAGUCCAAAACUUCCUAAUCGCUGAGGAAUAUUAGCUUCACAAUGUGCUCUCUCAAAGUAUACUUUUACCAUUUUAAAGUGUGUAAAAUAAGAAUUAAGUUAUGUUAAAAGCAAUACCUAUGAUAUUCUUAUAAUUGGGCAGCUCCAGUGUCUGGGUUCUCUUGGCAACCACAGACACAAAAAGUAUAUUCCAUGUAUUGUAUUGGAAAGGCUGUUUUAAGCUACCUACAAGCAUGUCUCAUGUAUGUUUUCCAUUUUGACAGAGAUAGUGGGCUAUCGUGUUCAAAUAAAGCACAAUUUUCAAGCAAAACUGAAUAUUUCACAUUUUAAAUUACAAAUGUAAGUAUUUGAAUUGCUGCACUUCAUCUUAUAGUUAAAGUCGUGGCCACUAGAUGUCAUCACAAACAUUGUUAAUGUGUCAGGCUCCCCUUUCCAACAAUUAGGUUCUGCAUCUAAUGCACACUUGUAAAUACCGUUUUGCACAGCUGUAAAUUUGUUUAUAAUAUAUAUAAAUGCACUACCGUUCAAAAGUUUGGGGUCACUUAAAUGUCCUUAUUUCUGAAAGAAAAGCAGCAUUUUUUCAAUGAAGAUAACAUUAAAU
ensembl:lncRNA